rnacentral:rRNA from 1 species
AUUGAACGCUGGCGGCAUGCCUUACACAUGCGAGUCGAACGGCAGCACGGGUGCUUGCACCUGGUGGCGAGUGGCGAACGGGUGAGUAAUACAUCGGAACGUACCUUAUCGUGGGGGAUACCGCAGCGAAAGUUGCGCUAAUACCGCAUACGCCCUGAGGGGGAAAGCGGGGGACCGUAAGGCCUCGCGCGAUUAGAGCGGCCGAUGUCUGAUUAGCUUGUUGGUGAGGUAAAAGCUCACCAAGGCGAUGAUCAGUAGCUGGUCUGAGAGGACGAUCAGCCACACUGGGACUGAGACACGGCCCAGACUCCUACGGGAGGCAGCAGUGGGGAAUUUUGGACAAUGGGGGCAACCCUGAUCCAGCAAUGCCGCGUGAGUGAAGAAGGCCUUCGGGUUGUAAAGCUCUUCUGUCAGGGAAGAAACAGCAGCUCUAACACAGUCUGCGAAUGACGGUACCUGAAGAAUAAGCACCGGCUAACUACGUGCCAGCAGCCGCCGUAA